rnacentral:lncRNA from 1 species
AUGACAGCCACCCACCACACUAAGGCACAGGAUUUAAAGAGGAUUUAUUCCUGGGCUCCUUCUGGAGGAGAGGUGAGCAGAGCCAUGCUCUCCACCAGCCCUGCUGCUGUUUGCCAGAGCCACCCUCACAGUGAUGCUGCUUCUAGAGAGGUUUGCUGUCAUCGGCUAGCCACCAACUUUUCCACAUCCCUCUACUGGGCAGGUGUAGCUGUGAUACUGAAAGAAUGACUGAACACUUGUCCCUGUAUCAAGUCACACCCUACUUUGGUGAUACAAUAGCAGGCACUGGCAAAUUUGAAAAGAACAGGACACAGUACAGCACACCAAGACCUCUGCAUGGCACUGCAGUUGCUCUCUGAUUUGGGGGAAGCUACAGAGAAGCUAUAGCACUGUACAAAAGAAUCAGUAUAAGAUAGGAAAACAAACCACUGCAGACUUAUUGAGUCUUAAAUGUCUUUAUCUUAAACAUCUCAGGAUCCUAGGAGCUUUUGAAAGCACUCAUAGUGAUUCAAAUUGUUGCUACUGUUAGCUUUACUGUUAUAUAGAGUCUUAUUUUAUCAAGGCAGAAAUGUGCUCAUCGUUCAUGCAGUGUUAUAAUAUGCAGUUAUAGGGAAAAAAAAACAAAACCUAAACCUCAAAUGCCUAUGACAGUGUAAACAUUGAUAAGAGCCAAAUAGAAAAUGGCAGUGUAACUUGAAUAUUUUCUAUAACUUCUAAUGAAAUACAAAUUUUGAGAUCCUCUAUUUUUGUAUUUUUUGGAGUUCCAAUCAAUUUCACUGGAUUUAUGCAAAUCUAUACCGUCUGAUAAUCUGGCCUGUGCUUUAUGAGUUGCAAUGAAUUCAGAGGGUGUGACAUACAAGAAGAGGUUAUUAUUUUUUUUAUAUAUAUAUAUUUUUUUUUUUUCAGAGAGAUUUUUGACAUAUAUAUUCAGAUAAUCUUGUAUAAGCACUUCCAGUGUUUUCAGUGGAAUGCCUGGAAAUGAAGCUUUACCUCAUGAAUGUGAAUGUGGUCUUCAUUUCAUGAAGAAUAAAAUUCUGUUGAUACGAUGACA